GAAUAAAAAAGCGAAUUAAAAGUUGUAUAUUCCAACGUGGCUUUCCCUUUUUCCAAGCUUUUUUUUUUCCUGAUCCAUUGGUUUUGCUUGGGCUUCAUCCUCUCUCUCUCUGUUAUGCGUAGUCCUUAAAUACCAGUAUCUCCAGCCUUGAGCAUUUUCAGCAGCAACGGUUUUUCGAGGGGUACGUAAGAUUCCACAUGCUUUGAUCGAUCACUGAUUCGUUUCUUCUAUAUCUAACUUUGUUAAGCCUAUAUAAUUUUGUUGUUUAUUUGGAUUCCUUUCUGUCGCCCGCCUAUAUAUUUGUGUAUAAUCUGGAUUUCUUUCUUUGAGUACUUGAUCUCCCUUGUUGCAAACAUUUUUCGUUGAUUACGAGAAGUUUUACCCAAUGUUCUUUAUACUGGAGCUACUCGGAGGCCCGGCUUUUGAUCAUCGUUCGAUUUCCAGUUCUGUUAGUGAACCCAACCUUCUCUUAGCUUUUCAUUUCGAAUCAAUUGGAUUUCACUUUUUAAUAGUGAUGCUUGAAGAAUAUAUUAUUGUGUUUUCUUUCGUAUAGCUAUAUCGAUACCGAAUGUGCUUAAAACAUUUCUUCUAUUUUCAUACUAUACUAGAUUGCAUCAUGAGCAGGACAUUGGAUCCUUACAAAUGACUUUAGCCUUACAAUGGGAUGAUAUUGUUGAUGUUGUCCAAUUUAGACAUAAGCUGUUAAUGCAAGAACUUGCUCUUCAUGCCCAGGCAACAUCCAAAAAGAGCACGACCACAAAUCACAUUGCACUCUUAAUCCCCACUCCUCGAGUAAAGAUAUAUUUCUCCUAUCAGUCUAAGGAUCUGAUAGGGUUACUCUCCAUCUUUCUAUUGGUGAAAGUUGGCUAAUUAGCCAUUACGUUGAAACCAACAAUACCCCUAAAUUUCUUUCUCCUAAAGUUACUUCAAACAAUAUAAAAGCUGUUUUUUUUACAGAAUAUAUGUGAGGAUAAUUAGAGAGUUUUUUAGAGUGAUUGAACCUUGUAUUCCAAUUAGCUUUGAAAAGAAAUAAAAUCUCCUGCCCCUUUGCACAGGGGAGGUAGGCCUUCUGGUUUGCAGUACUCUGGGAUUGUGCUUUGCAUGUUUUCUUGUGGAGGUGUAGUUUGUUGCUUUGUGAAUAGAAAGCGUGCACAACACUAACACUUUCGAUCUAGCUGAUCUGAUAGAGCACCCUUUGUUCGAUCUAGGGAUUCAUCCACAUACCACAAUUUCGUAUGACUACGAGGGUCACCAAUUUUGUUCGGACCUCGAGAUUUCUCUGACACCCAGUUAGGUUCCAUACCAUGGCUUUGAUACCAAUUCAUAAGAAUAACCAACCCUCAUAUAUAUUUACAAUGGUAUUGUCCAUUUUGAACCAUAACCCCUCAUGACUUUACUUUUUGUUGCACCCAAAAAUCCUAUACCAAUAAAGAUCCUCACUUAUAUCAUAGAUCUCUCCCUACACAAUCUAUUCUUUAGUGCAUUAUUGAAGUUGCGUAAUGAAUAAUGAUUUUGGUUUUCUUGUUAUCAUGCUGUUGGUCAAAGCAAAUGCAGCCAGAAAAGGAAAAUGAAAAAUGAAAAAAAAAAUGGAAAAGUAGAUUCGAUCGAAGAUGAAAUACUUCAUAGGCGAUAUUAAUUUGAGGAAUAGGAAAUACAAUUAUGCUGCCUCGUAAUGUUUCAUUUGCCUUAUAUUUUAAAGACCAGGAGUUUGUUCUUCAUGUACUGUGACUGCAGAUGUGAGACUGAAAUUUUAAUCUUUUAGUCAUUAAUUAGCUGUCAGAGCCACGGCUACAAUUUGUGGGAAACUAAUAUUUUGGGCCAUUAGGCUAAAGUUCAGACUAAUGCUUCAUCUGGGAUGCGAGUUGCUGAGAAUAGCAAAAGCACAUACCUGAGAACUGCUGAGAAUGAUUGUAUUUUAGAUUUGCUGUUUAUGACUUCGAUCUUGUGACCUGAGAGCUGCCAAAAGAGCAAAAUCAUUUUCAUUGCCUGUUAGUUAUUUUAAUUCAUUCAACAGCUUUUUCCUGGUUGGGUCAGUAAUUUGACUUAAUAGUUUAGUUUUCUUCCAAUUCUUUUAUGUUAGUUUUCAACCCCUUACUGUUUGUAUUAAACAAGUAGUGUAUUCACUUCUUGGAGUUUCAUUACUGUAUCUGCUCAGAUUCAGCUUUCGUUUCACGUUUCUUAACCAUUUCAUUAUAUCAAACACCUUUUUUUAUGCGUUCAAUGUGCACAUCAGGUGCUAUUUCUAGAUUAGCUAGCAUGAAUUAAGAGCACAAAUGGCUUAUGAUAUGAAUGAACGAUAGAAAUUUUUGGGACCUGUCACAUUUCUAAUGUAUGAUCGACUUUCUUUCUGAUAUUGGUUCAUGAAAUUGUUGUCUCGUUGUACAAUCUAGCUUAAUCUGUGCCAUUCUGCCUUGAACAACAGGGAUUUUGGAAAUUUAUACAAAGGGUGAUUUUAUAUCUAUCUGAGAUCAGUGCCAGUUGGUUGUCAAUUCGUUUCAACUAAGUUGCCCGGUUGGUUGUAAUAGCACAAUCAUUUGUUUCAGUUCUCAAAAUCUGCUUUGCUUUAGUACCUAACAUCCAUAUCAAGGCGUUGAUUCAUAACUAUCCUUAUUCCAAUAUUUUUGAGCUACAGUCUGGUUCUACAAAGCGCUGGCAAUUACUUGCCAGUCUUUGCCAUUCUAUUCUCUGGGAGAGCCUGGGGGACUCAUUCAGUCUGUAGUCUUCAUACUUGAUUUCUUCUAUUUUCUGAACACAUUCUCAACGUUUGAUAUUGUCAUUCUAGUUAUGUAGGCAUAGGAAAAGAAGUAAUGGCAUGCAACUGUUUGAAAUACUCAUGCUCAAGAUGAUUAAUUGAGCCUAAAACUCUAUCAAAGAACUCAAAAGAAAUCUUUAUUCAAUCUUCACAAAAUAUGGAGGAUGAGUACAGCGAACUAAAAGACAUUACAAAAUUGCCCUACUAUUCCCUACAUCAAUGAUCUACUCCACUGGCUCCAGUUCUUACGGCUUGUUACAAGUAACUCAUUUUGUUAGUCUCCAUAAUUAUCCAGGAUCUGCUCCAAGAUACUGUAUGCAACAUCAAAGGAUAGGUUUUGAAGGGAAUUAGAGGGAAUCCGUUAAGAGAUCCAGGCAACUGACCCAACUGAGAUGGAUCUUGAAGUUCUUAGAGACCCGUGCAAACUGAGCUCUACACUUGGAAUUCUUAGAGAUCUAUUCUACUGGAAGAUCACUUUGCUUAUUUAUCCCUGAAACUAAAAUCGUUUCCAUAUAUAUCUGAAUCAAAGGCUGAUCAGGGCUAUUGACUUUGAUAGCCACUGCAGCCUGCACUGCAAUCUAACUUGAGCCUCCUAUUGCCAUGAUGCGUCUAAGGUGAUGUUGUAAACUUAAACUACUUGCUCGAUUCAUAACAUGACCAACCACCUAGUCUUCUCUUCUCUAAAGUCUCCAGCUGAAUUUCUAGACAUAAUUGUUUGGUUUAAACUGUAAAGAAUUCAGAACUGCGCGAAGUUGUGAGAGGUGUAAUUUUUUCCAGUUGUGAUAAGCAAAGGUCCAUAAACUUGCUCCAUCGAUGGGAUGUGACUCCAUAGCUGUUGGUUUCUCAGUUCUCCUACUCAAGUAAAUCUCUCUCAUCUUAUAAAUUUAGAGAUAAAUGUCACGUCAAUUUUUUUUUUUUUAAAAAUAAAAUAGAAUAAGCUGAUGAAUUAAAUUGAUAACAAGGAAGGCAAAGGACGGAUAAGAAAUUAAUGAUAAUAAGGAAAGCAUUUAGAGCAAAGGAGAACAACCACUUAUCGAUUACAGGACCUUAUCAAAUAAGUUUUCUGAUACAUUACUGUGAAGCAAGAAAAAGCAAAAAUCUGUCAAAUGGGGCCCUAUGAAGAAACGAAAGAAAGACCCAGAAAUACAAACAAACAAAGAAAUAGCUUCCAAUUUGGCAUUGUCAUGAACCUGAUGUCAACCUUCUCCCAGUAGUAUCAGUCUAUGAAAUAAGGAAGUUACCAUAGAAAUUAGGGUAGCCUUUUGGUUUCUCCAAAAGCCAAUUCUAAGAAAGAAGAGACAGCAGCCUCUCGUUUCAGAGAAUCAUAUGGACCCAUAAGGCUUUUGUUGUGGGCUAUCUUUUUCAAGGCGAUGGGGAGAAAAUGAAGGAAAAAUCUUGGGCUACGGCUGAAAUGCGGUCAGGUCCACACCAGAAUGACAAAGAUUGAAAGAAUAAGGGAAAUAAAUGGAGUGAAAGCGAUAGAACUUAGAAGGAUGGAUUACAGAGAGAGAUAUAUAAAGAUAUAAACUAGUAUGAAAAAGAAUAUAUAUUGAUUUUCUUGAAACUUUGAAUGCUCUUCCGGUUGACCGACCCGAAUCAUUUGGUUUCCUUCUGGGAAGUCUUGGCUUAUUAUAUGGAAAAAUACUUGGCUCAUGGAGAAUAAUAAUUAACUUAGAUUUCCUCAAUUAAUAAUAACAAUCAUAAUCAUAAUCAUAAUUUAGAUUUGGUGGCUAUCCUUACUUUAAUACGGGUUUGAAAGUUAUAAGACAAAAUACUUCGAAUUUUGAAUAAUAAUUAAAUUUGAUCUCUGAAUUUUUUAGAUUUAUCUGGUCCGUUCUUGAAUUUUUAAGAAUGCACCACUUUUGUCUUAAAGUUUUUAGGUUUAAAUUCUAUUUUGGUUCUUGAACUUUCAAAUUUGUUCUAUUUCAGUUCUUGAACUUUUAAAAUGUCUA